rnacentral:rRNA from 1 species
UAGGGAAUAUUGCAAAAUGGGCGAAAGCCCGAUGCAGCAACGCCGCGUGGGCGAUGAAGGCCUUCGGGUCGUAAAGCCCUUUUUGAGGGGAUGAGGAAGGACAGUACCCUCAGAAUAAGCCUCGGCUAACUACGUGCCAGCAGCCGUGGUAAAACGUAGGAGGCGAGCGUUAUCCGGAUUUACUGGGCGUAAAGCGCGUGCAGGCGGAUUGGAGAGUUGGAUGUGAAAGCUCCCGGCUUAACUGGGAGAGGUCGUUCAAUACUUCCAGUCUUGAGUGCAGUAGAGGGAAGUGGAAUUCCGGGUGUAGUGGUGAAAUGCGUAGAUAUCCGGAGGAACACCAGUGGCGAAAGCGGCUUCCUGGACUGUAACUGACGCUCAGACGCGAAAGCUAGGGUAGCAAACG